AUUGAACGCUGGCGGCAGGCCUAACACAUGCAAGUCGAACGAGUGGCGGACGGGUGAGUAAUGUCUGGGACACUGCCUGAUGGAGGGGGAUAACUACUGGAAACGGUAGCUAAUACCGCAUACCAUCAGAUGUGCCCAGAUGGGAUUAGCUUGUUGGUGGGGUAACGGCUCACCAAGGCGACGAUCCCUAGCUGGUCUGAGAGGAUGACCACCCACACUCGAACUGCACCACGGUCCAGCCUCCCAGGGGAGGCAGCAGUGGGGGAUAUUGCACAAUGGGCGCAAGCCUGAUGCAGCCAUGCCGAGUGUAUGAAGAAGGCCGUCGGGUUGUAAAGUACUUUCAGCGUUGAGGCGUUACCCGCAGUAUACGCACCGGCUAACUCCGUGCCAGCAGCCGCGGUAAUUC
rnacentral:rRNA from 1 species